ACGUAGGGUCCGAGCGUUGUCCGGAAUUAUUGGGCGUAAAGAGCUCGUAGGCGGCAUGUCGCGUCGGGAGUGAAAGCCCGGGGCUUAACCUCGGGUUGGCUUCCGGUACGGGCAUGCUGGAGUGUGGCAGGGGAGACUGGAAUUCCUGGUGUAGCGGUGGAAUGCGCAGAUAUCAGGAGGAACACCGGUGGCGAAGGCGGGUCUCUGGGCCAUUACUGACGCUGAGGAGCGAAAGCGUGGGGAGCGAACAGGA
rnacentral:rRNA from 1 species